UUUAAAUCCAACAUGGCGGCUUCGCCGAAGCGGCCCCUUCCCAGCAUGCCCUGAGGCACCGCGGUGGCGGGGCGCGUUCCACUGCCUGGCCUGUGGGGGAAGGGACUGGGACGCUCCUAGCAGCUCCUUAGGGGGCAGCAGCCGCUCCGCAGGGGGAAAGGGCUCUUUAACAUAGCUGAAGAUGGCAGAAUGGGAUCCAACAGCUGGAAGAUGAAACACUUAGAAGUCAAGACUUAGAUGUGAAGGUUGUGCAUGUUAAGCAGCAAAGGUGAGGAAAUGUUAGAACGUGGUGAUGCUGAAGGAUCCUACAUCUUGUGGAGCCUCUAGAAAGAUAUCCUGUCUUGGUUUCAACUCACACUCCAGCUCAAGCAAGUGAUGGAUUUCCUGAUUCUCCAGCCUAUAUGUGAAAGAUUAGAAGAGGCAGUCAUGAUGACACUCUGCCACUGGCUUCAGAAUGCUCACAAAAGGCUCAUCAACCUGAGGACCUGCCUCCCAGCCUCUCCCUUGCUUUUUCCAGGAAUAGGACCACACCCUACCUACCUAUUCCAGGUCUAUGAUGAACUCAGAGAAAGAAGCCACUUGUAGCUGAUCCAGUACAGUCCUGGGGAGAGCUGCAAGAGCAGUCCUAAUGUGCGUUACUGUCCUUGUCCUUAAUCUCGAAAUUCUGCCCACCCCAGUUGCACCACAUACUAAAAAAAAUCCAGUUUAAUUCUCUCAAACAGCCAAUCUAUCCUCCCAGCCACACCCUGCAUUACAGCAGCCUGCUCACUUCCCUCGGCUGACCACACAGCGCUAAAGGAACCUCACCCCACUUCACUGGCUAUGGCCAAUGCAAAGGAGCUCAGCUCCCGUCACCAACUACACUUGGUGUGGGCCUGACCCUAACUGCUUCUACUCUUCUUCUUCAGCAAUCCCUCGCAACUGAGGAUGAUUGUCUUCCGUGAUUGUUUUACCUGUGUGCCUGAAGAUGGCUGAUGAGGCUUAUCCAGAAUCAGACUCUACUGUCUCUUGCACACGCAUUUCCAUGUGGGGUGGGUGGCACUGGAUUCUUAAUCCCUUCUUCCUCCAUAUGCAGUAGUCCUGGGCGAUUGUCAACUUGAGGGAGACUUCGAUAUUGCAUUUUCUUAAGUUGGCUUUGAGGAAGUCCCUGAAGUGCUUUUUCUGCUCUCCUCUUGAGUGUACACCUUGGCUGAGCUGGGAGAAUAAAACUUGCUUCAGGA